GAUGAACGCUGGCGGCGUGCUUAACACAUGCAAGUCGAACGAAGUCGCGCACGGGUGAGUAACGCGUAAUCAACCUGCACUUCAGAGGGGGACAACAGUUGGAAACGAUGGCUAAUACCGCAUACUGAAGGAGGGGUUUGCGUUUGAUUAGCUAGUUGGAGGGGUAACGGCCCACCAAUGCGAAGAUCAGUAGCCGGUCUGGGAGGAUGGACGGCCACCUUGGGACUGGGGCACGGCCCAGACUCCUACGGGAGGCAGCAGUGGGGAAUCUUCCGCAAUGGACGGAAGUCUGACGAAGCAACGCCGCGUGAGUGAUGACGGCCUUCGGGUUGUAAAGCUCUGUUAAUCGGGACGCGGUACCGGAAUAGAAAGCCACGGCUAACUACGUGCCAGCAGCCGCGGUAAUUC
rnacentral:rRNA from 1 species